rnacentral:rRNA from 1 species
AAUAUUGGACAACUGGGGAAACCCUGAUCCAGCAAUGCCGUGAGUGUGAGAAGGCCUGCGGGUUGUAAAGACCUUUCAGUGGAGAAGGUUAUGUCGGUACUUCCAAAAGAAGCACCGGCUAACUCCUUGCCAGCAGCCGGGGUAAUACGGAGGGUGCGAGCGUUAUUCGGAAUUAUCGCUGGUAAAGCAUACUUCGCGGGUUUGGUAAUUCGUAUGUGAAAUCCCCGGGAUCAAUCUGGGAAUUGCAUUUGAAACUGCCUCACUAGAGUCUAGCAGAGGGAUGGGGAAUUCCGGGUGUAGCGGUGAAAUGCGUAGAGAUCCGGAGGAACAUCAGUGGCGAAGGCGCCAUCCUGGGGUAAGACUGACGCUGAGGUACGAAAGGGGGGGACCAAACCGGAUUAGAUACCCUGCUAGUCCACGCCGUA